AUUGAACGCUAGCGGGACGCUUUACACAUGCAAGUCGAACGAGUGGCGGACGGGUGCGUAAUAUCUCGGAACGUGCCCAGUAGCGGGGGAUAACUACUCGAAAGAGUGGCUAAUACCGCAUACUAUUGUUGCCGCCUAUAUCGGAUUAGCUAGCUGGUGGGGUAAAGGCGCACCAAGGCCACGACCCGUAGCUGGUUUGAGAGGACGACCAGCCACACUGGGACUGAGACACGGCCCAGACUCCUACGGGAGGCAGCAGUGGGGAAUUUUGGACAAUGGGGGAAACCCUGAUGCAGCCAUCCCGCGUGUAUGAGAAGGCCUUCGGGUUGUAAAGUACUUUUGGCAGAGAAGCGGUAUCUGCAGAAUAAGCACCGGCUAACUACGUGCCAGCAGCCGCGGUAAUAC
rnacentral:rRNA from 1 species